rnacentral:rRNA from 1 species
UACGUAGGGUGCGAGCGUUUGUCCGGAAUUAUUGGGCGUAAAGAGCUUGUAGGCGGCUUGUCGCGUCUGCUGUGAAAAUCCGAGGCUCAACCUCGGACUUGCAGUGGGUACGGGCAGGCUAGAGUGUGGUAGGGGAGACUGGAAUUCCUGGUGUAGCGGUGAAAUGCGCAGAUAUCAGGAGGAACACCGAUGGCGAAGGCAGGUCUCUGGGCAUUAACUGACGCUGAGGAGCGAAAGCAUGGGGAGCGAACAGG